ensembl:lncRNA
GCAGGUAAUCGUUAGAAUCGAGUCAUUGCAGAUGGUUAUUGGCUACGUUUUUUCCCCACGCUCCCCUAUCAACUGCUUCCUUGCCAGAUGAAAACGCGAAGUCUGAUGAGAUUUUAUUAGUACAAAAACAAGCAUCCUUCCCUCCCCAGUAGCCCCUCUGCUUCUGUGCUGGCGAUGACAUGGUCACCUCAUUGCUGGGGCAUGCAGGUCUUUGGGUGCAGAUGGAGAGGGAGAGGGGGUGUCUUUGCUUCAAUCUGCCAGACAUUGCAGCGGUGUGAGAAGGAGAUGAGGUCCUGGUCCACACCUGCGGAUUACCUGGUUUGGGGGGACCGUUGCUGUUCCUGUCCUUGUCCACCUGGUCAUACUUCUGACCUAGUCUAAAAUCAAAUAUACUCUGGAUUUAGCCAAGAGAAAUGUAUUUAUUAUUCCAAUUGGACUCUUAAUAUCUCACCCGGCACAGCCAGAAGAGGAC